GACGAACGCUGGCGGCGUGCUUAACACAUGCAAGUCGAACGGAAAGGCCCUGCUUUUGUGGGGUGCUCGAGUGGCGAACGGGUGAGUAACACGUGAGUAACCUGCCCUUGACUUUGGGAUAACUUCAGGAAACUGGGGCUAAUACCGGAUAGGAGCUCCUGCUGCAUGGUGGGGGUUGGAAAGUUUCGGCGGUUGGGGAUGGACUCGCGGCUUAUCAGCUUGUUGGUGGGGUAGUGGCUUACCAAGGCUUUGACGGGUAGCCGGCCUGAGAGGGUGACCGGCCAUAUGGGGAGUGAGAUAGGGCCCAGCCUCCUGCGGGGGGCAGCAGUGGGAAAUUUGGAAAAAGGGGCGGAGGCCGGAGGCAGCAGCGCCGGGUGGGGGAGGAGGGCCUUGGGUUUGUAACCCGUUUUCGCCUGUGACGAGGGGUGGGUGAGGGUAAGGGGUAAAGAAGCACCGGCAAACUCCGUG
rnacentral:rRNA from 1 species